GAGAGAGAGAGAGAGAGAGAGAGAGAGAGAGAGAGAGAGACAUUAGCGUACUCCACCCAUAAAGAUGGUCACUGACACUGUCAAAUGUAAUCAGCCAUCAAUAAUUAAACAAUUAAUUAUGAAACUAUAGUGAAAGCAAACUAUGGCCUGGGAAAUAACAUCAAGGUAACUUAUGUAAUUAUAAUUUCUCUUGACUGCAUAUGUUAGCAUGUUUACUAAUAUUUGACUAAUAAUUUUUUCUUUUUCUUCUUUUCCCAUUCUCAGAUAUUAGAUUAUUUUUCAACUUUACUUUGAAACCAUUAACAUAAUGUUUGUCUUCUCUCUUUUGAGUGUUUAUUGCCAUCUAGUCCUAGUUAAGAAUUUAGCUCCAGCCCUAUUAAAGUACUGCUGAAGAAGCUGAACAAGUUUCUUCAGGAUAACUACAAACUUCCAGGCAGAUGUCGACAGGACAAAUAUCUGCAGGAUGCUAAUCCUCAAGGACACUGAUUUGGUUUGUUUCAGCAGCAGAUAAAGAACCACCAGGAACAGGUUGCUGCAUCUUUGUCAUGAACAGAAAGCAGUCAGACUUGGACAGUGGAAGGAGCAGCCGAUCAAAAAUCAGCAGAGCUAUGCUGGUGCCUCUUAGGAGAUUAAUUUGUCCAUAAUUUUCUAUAAUAUCUACUUAAUGUUCUGUAGAGUUUGAAUCGGUCAAUGUUCUGUUUUAUAAAAUUAUACAGUAUAUUUUUAUGGUCAGUAGUUUGGGGUCAGAAUUGUUUGCACUUUUUGUAGCCUUCCCUUCAUCAAGGGUGCAUUGAAUUGAUAAAAAGUGGCAGUAAAAUCUUUUACACUGUUGCACAAAACAUUUUAUUUGAAUCAAAAUUCUGCUCUAUUCUAAGUAUCCUGAAAAAUAUCCAUUUAUUUCAAUAAAUGAUGCAACACAACUGUUUCCAACAUCCUAAAAAUGCUUCUUAAGGAUCAAAACAGCAUGUUUUAGUAAGUUCUGUUGUAUUCUAUUGUAUGCAUUGUAUUUUUGAUAUUCAGCCAGUGUUUGUGGGUCUGGUGGACUCAAGUGUUAGUGGCACUUGGUGCAGUUUUUGGGUUUUUAAUUAAAAAAAGAUGUUAAAAUAA